GUGCGGGCGUUCCGCUCUUGCGCGAGUGUGGGCGUUAUGUGGCGACGCGUCCUUUCUGGGAGCCUCGGGGGCCAUCCGGUCGGCUCUGGCUAGUGGCGGUCCAGGCCCGCGGGGGUGACGCGUGCUUUCCACUGCCACGGGCGCCAGCCUGUGGCCUCGGUCCCCGCCCCGGGGGUUAACGAAACUCCGCCGAGGCGGGAACGCCUCCGCGGGGCCGGGGACCUCAGGGAUGGCUUGCACCCUGGAGGCCGAGGGAACUUGGCCCCACGCGGACUCCCAAGGGUGUUCUCGGAAAAUGAGAAGUCGCCGGCCCCCAGCGUUCGGGCAGGGAGGGCACACAGGGUUAUUGCCGCCUGCUCCUCCUCGAUGAUAUUCGAGUGACCUCGAUUUGGGGGAAUCCAGGUACGUUAGCUUGGAAGCUAAGGGUCUAAGGCACACGGUCUGGCUAAAGGCUCCUGUGUUGCUGAACCUGCCCAGCGGCGGGUGCGGUGCGUACCAGGCAGCCCUACCCUGACCCAGAGUAAAUGCCCGGCCUGGGCUUUGAAUUUGCAGUAACAGGUGUGAACAUUCUAGCAGCAGUUUGAUGAUCAUGUAUGAUACUGCAAACACGACUGAGCGCGGAGAGCGGAAACUGUCGGGGUUUUCUGAACCCUGUGCACGGUGGACAUAAUACUUACCAGUGCUUCGGUGGUCCACCUGGCUAAGUGUUAAGGAUACUGAGGAAUGCGGGAGCCGUGGCCCCCGUUCUCCCCCAGCUAUGGCCCAGUGGGAGAGACGAGGUCAUGUGAUCACAGUAGGGAGGGCGAGGGGAGCACAGUUUCCUAUGAGAACGCGCCUCACCAGCAGCCUGAUGCAGACUGGGACACAUUCCUGAGGCCCCUGAGCUGGGCUCGGAGGGGUGCGUGGGAAAACCGGCCCUGCGUGUGUGGACACGCCCAGUGGUCUAGCAGGUGUGGCGGGCAGAGGUCCUGACAGGAAGCUGCUGCAGCUGUGGCGGGAACUGUGUGGGAUGGAGCUUGAAAGGUAGGAGAGGGCCAGGCCACAGGGCGUCUUUCCUGAGGAUGGGGGAGCAUGUCAUAGAUUUUAAACCAGAGGGUGGUGUGCAAAAACCCACCAUUUCUAAAGUGCUCCCUUUGCAGAAGGACGCCAUCUGGCCUUCUGCAGUGAUGGAGGCGCUCUAUGUCCACAGGGUCCAGCAGAACGGCCACAGGCCAGGGGCUCAUGAGCACUUGCAGGGCGGCUGGUGUGACUGCGGAGCUGGCUUUUCAAAGGUAAUGUCAGCGGCGUGGCCGCCGUGGUGGACAGAGCACAUUGGAGGGAGCCGUGGCCCUGUGCGGCAUUCAGGACACACAAAGCUGCUUUUUCGUGUCGCCUGCACCUCACCCCUUCCUGGGGACAGCCUUCGGGUGACUGCUCCUGAGGAUCUCGUGUACACAGCGUGGCAGCUGGUGGAGCAGCUUCUGUUCUCUGGGCUGUAGGUCGGCCAGCUCCCCGGGAAGCAGCAUUCUUCCUCCUCCCCGCUUUGCCUGUGUUGUCGCCAGCACUCGGGUUGAGGGGUGACGUCUUCAGCACAUCCAAGCACCCACCGGUCAAAGCAUUACGCCUGUGCCUUGGAGGGGUUUAAAGAGCAGCGGUCCCUGGUGGUGAGGGACUUAGACCUAAAGAGGGAGUGCCCCGGAUGGCUUGUGCAAGCGCCGAGGGAAGGUCUGCCGAUGUCCUUUCUGCCUGGUCCUCCGUGUCCAGAAGGUUGCUGCUUCGUUUCAGGGCCUUCCGGGCGUGUUCGGCUUCACUGUGAACCACGCCAUUGUUUAACGCUGACCCGUGUGAGACCCUGCUUCGUGUGGCUGUAAAUAAAUGGAGUCAGACUCCAGUGAGACUUUC